CCUUGGCAGAGUCAUGUGAUGACUGGCAUUGGUUUGUCUGUCUGUCUGUUAGCAAUAUUACUGAAAAAUGGAAUGAGGGAUUUGGAUGAAACCAACCAGCAGCCGUUAUCAAAUUGACGCAAAUACUGCUGAAAUAAGUAUGUUAAAUAAGUAAAUAUCAUUUGUAUUUUUCAGCCAAUCCUAAACAUGAGUUGUUCUUAUUAGCUGUCAGUCGCAAUAUGUGAUUUGAUACAUCUAGCAGAAAGGGGAAAAGGUUUAAACUGAAAUAAAGUCAACCUUGUACACUUUGAAGAAACCAAAUGCUAGAUAUGUUAAAAAUGUUUCUUAAAUUUAGCAGUAAAUUAGAUUAAGACUAGACAAUGUCUCUCUUAUGCACUGUUUAGGGAAAUCUGCAUUAGUGUGAUCUAUAUUUAUGUUCUUCCUGCCACAAUGAUUACAUUAUCAGUUCAUCUAGAACAGAGUCAGAGUCCAGAUAAUUUUAUUUAUUGUCUUAGAUUUGUGGCUUUAUUUUUGAUGCUCUUUAUUUGAGACAUUUCUUACAAUAAUUCUAUAAUUCCAAUAUUUGGAUAUUCUUAAGAAUUAAGGAUCUACUUAUCAUCAUAAAAUUAAAAGACUAACUACAUCAGAUAAUUUAUCCAAAAAGGUAAUUAUUGCGACAGGUGUGCCUCUUACUCAGAUGUAUUAUACUAAAGCAAUAUUCAUAGCAGCUGGACCAGAAAUAGUCUCUGAUUUACCUUUCGCUGAGCUUUCAUUUUUUUCUUUCUCUGAACUCUUCCUCCUCUCUUCUUUUAGGCUGUGAAAAGCUGCUGGUGGUUCCCUUCCUCUUCAUUCUUUACUGUCUCCUACAAGAAUCACACUGACUGAACUAUGUUUUUUCCUUUGAUAAUUUUCAUUAUUAACUAUGAUACAAUCUGAUGUGUACAAUUUAAACCUUGAAAGAGAUACUUAACAUGUAAACGUUUUUUCAGCUGUAAACUAAAUGAUAUGACUGUACUAUGAUGAAACACAUCAAUGUUGGUGUUAUUAUGACCGUGACACCAAAAUUAUAAAAACCAGCAUUAAACAAGCAGGAUGUAGUUUUCAAACAGUGCAUGAAAACCUGGUGUGACUGGAGGUUUGGUUACACUUUAAUGUCAUGUAAAGUCUUAGUGAAUGUGUGAUUUCUUUUGACUUACAGCCUGUUGUCAGAACCACAGGUUGUAAUUAUCAAAAAAAAGAGACAAACUUCCACAGACGUUCCCCCACCAUCCUUCUGUGGCUGUUCUCUAACAUUAGCUAGCUACAUUAGUAAAAAUUAGCAAGGCCCAGACUCACUGGAAACUGUGGCUCGUCUCACAAGCAAACACUUUAUGUGACUUUAGACACUAUUAGCAUUUAAUACAUAGUGAACAGUUAUAUUAGCAUGUAGUUUAACCCAGUCUAACUAGUGUCUUACUGUCACACCGAAGUCCAGCUGUCAUCCACAUGAGUGAGGUCUAAGAUCAGCCCCCUCAGGGGGGCGUGUCACCUUGUAUCUGUAGCAGCAUAGACUGUACAGGACGUGACGUCUACAUGGUGCAUUCAAGGCACUCGGACAUCGGAGUUUCACUCGUUAUUCGUCUUUCCUGGACUUUCACUCUUUACGGCCGGCCACAACCUUUCAUGUACAUAUUUUAUAAUUAGAUUGUUCAGAACUGGGGUGGCAGCCGGAGUGGCAAGGCAUCUUCUUGGGGUGGCAGUUGCCACCCUAUGCCACCCCAGUAGAUCCGCCCCUGUCUGGCCUAUAACCAGGGAUAUAAACCCGACUCAGCGGCUGUGUUCAACUCCAGCUCACGGCUUUUUGCUGCAGGUUUUCUUGCUACUUUUCUGUCUCUCCUCUAACCUGUCAAGUAAAGCCAUGAAAAAGGCCAAAAAAUAACUUAAAAAAACAUUAAUUCACAGCUAUUGGUGAUCUCCGUCUGUGGGUGGAUGCCCCACGUGUGUGUUACUGUGUGAUGUGUGAUGUGUGUGUGUGUGUGUGUGUGUGUGUGUGUGUGUGUGUGUGUGUGUGUGUGUGUGUGUGUGUGUGUGUGUGUGUGUGUUACCGUGUGUGUGUGCAGAAGUGUUCCGUGAACAGGUGUUGUUUUGUCCUUUUUUAGACUGUGAGGGAUUCUGCAGAUGGAACAAUGCAGCAAAAUGAUCGUUUUUGGUUUGUUUUUAUUCAUUCUUAUUUUCUUGUUUUGCAUGUCUUGAGUUGUUUGAUCUUGUUUGAAAGAGCAGCUAGCUGUAUCGUUCAAGGGUGGGCUCAUUAAGGUUUUGUAGCAUAAAUAUCCUCGUCUCGGGACUUCCGAUGAUGUCAUGCCUGCGCUAGCAGCUUCAACAGGAGCUCUCGUCCACAAGUUUCAUAUUUGAGAAUACAGCGUCAGUCAGUCUUGGUAUUUUUUGUAUCUGGAUCAUGGACACGAUGAGUUCGACAAAUAAGCUAAACAAAAUUUCAAACGGGAGAUAAUGUGAAAGCCGACACGGUGGAAAACUUGGCUAACCACGCUAAAGCUAACCACGCUUCUGCAGGUGUGCAACAGGAAAACAUCGCCGAGCUAAUGGCUGAACUAAAGAGAACUGGAGCUGCAAAUCAAGAGAGACACAUAACCCUCUUUUCGACCGGGGUGGAGCCCGUUCGGAGUUGGAGCCGGCGCCCGACUUGGCGCCGGUUUUUUGUGUUUCGACCACCGGAGCUGCGGCUCCGGGCUCCAAAAACUGGGGCCGUUUCGGGCACCAAUUUGUUGCUGGGCCAGAGGUGGCCAGAGUUGAGAGCCGAGCAUGUCACGGGCAGGGGGCGGGUUUACGGUGACCGACGAUCAACAGCGGAAACAAAGAACCGCCAUUUUUUAAAAAAACAGCGGUGAAGCAGCUCUCGUCCUGAGAAGACAACGUUUUGGAAACGGAAAAUGGAAAACAAGAGCAAGCAGUGGACGGAGGAGGAGACCCAGUGCUUCCUGGCACUGUGGUCAUCAGCUGAGGUUCAUGGAAAGCUGGAUGGAGCCACAAGGACGAAGCCCAUCUUCCAGGGAAUCCAGCGGGAGAUGGAGGCACAGGGCUACCAGCGGAGCCUUGACCAGCUGCUAAACAAACUAAAAAAGUUUUUAAAAAAGAGUACAGAGACCAGAGGAGGGAGCUGGGACGAAGCGGCAGCGGAAGGCAAAAGAGAUGUCCGCAUUUUGAGUUACUGGACUCUGUGCUUGGAGACCGGUCCGCUAACCAAGCCACAGGGGCCCUCAACUCAGCCACAGCCGCGCUGGACUGGCCGCAGGACUUGCCGACACCCGCUCCUGAAACUGGUAAGUCUUAUUUCUCAAACAUCGGCUGUAAACUCGCCAAGAAUAUGCUAGCUACAAUAGUCCCACGUGAAUAUUAUGAAUGUUACGCCGGAGAAAGUAGUGUGGACACAGGCUCAGUGAUCGGAGGUUGGCUAUUGUUUGCUAGCCAGUUAGCCAUGUGAAAGCUAACAAACAAUGAAACAAGGCCCAAGUGGAACCUGAGAAAAGCAGCAGCAGUAUUUCAUUACACGACCUGUAUUCAAAACCUCCCACAUUGUAUAAUGUCCCAUUUACUUAUAUUACUGUGCUGUAUUGUAAUCAUUGAAAUUCAUUACAAUUCCAAUUUAUGUGUUGCUUAUGUUUUCUGUCAUUAAUACAAGUCUAAAAAACUGAUUCAAAUGACCAAAUUAACACAGUUAAGUGAAGAAAACGCUGCGCUGCCAUUUUAAUAAUUUCAGGAUAAAAUGCUGAUUGUUGUGUGGUUUUUCAGCUUUGCAGAUGUGAACUUGUAAUGUAUUCAUGUCUUAUACACGUCUUUUGUGGGUUUGUAGUUGUGCCUCAAAUAAAACUAGGCCUUUAGCACUGUUGGAAAUUAUUACAGGUAUAAAGUGUUACAGGUAUCUCUGGUAACACUGUCAGACAUUGUAUGGAUGAAGGGUUAAUUAAUCUGUUACUGGAUAAAAUGAUUUGUAAUACAGAUGCUACCAACAAUGUUUCUUGUUCAUUUUUAAUAGAAUUGUCGCUCUUGGAUGAGGAGGGCCAGAUGACAAGGUGCAGCUCACCAGUACCAUCCUGCAGCUCAUCAGUCCCAUCCCUCAGCUCCUCGGCGUCCACCCAGUCCAGAACCGGAAAAAGGAAGCGGAGUCCCUAUGCAGAACUCAUUGAAUAUAUGGACCGCGCCGAUCAAAAAUACUUUGAGCAAGCGGAUCGGGACAAUGCCGUGAGCACUGCUGUGCUAGAUAAUAUGAGAGACACGAAGGGGCUGAUGGAGAGGAUGGUGGCAGCAGUGGAGCGCAUGGCAAACAAAUGAGCACAUGGACAUUUUUUUUGUUUGUUUUUUUUUGUAAAUACUUUUGGAUUUGUUUUUGUGUGGUGUUUUUGAAAUUUUUAUUUAUGUGUGUGAAUAAAGACUUUGAUGAGA